rnacentral:rRNA from 1 species
CCUACGGGUGGCAGCAGUGGGGAAUAUUGCACAAUGGGCGAAACCCUGAUGCAGCGACGCCGCGUGAGUGAAGAAGUAUUUCGGUAUGUAAAGCUCUAUCAGCAGGGAAGAAAAUGACGGUACCUGUUUAAGAAGCCCCGGCUAACUACGUGCCAGCAGCCGCGGUAAUACGUAGGGGGCAAGCGUUAUCCGGAUUUACUGGGUGUAAAGGGAGCGUAGACGGCAGCACAAGUCUGGAGUGAAAUGCCGGGGCUUAACCCCGGAACUGCUUUGGAAACUGUGCAGAUCGAGUGCAGGAGAGGUAAGUGGAAUGCCUGGUGUAGCGGUGAAAUGCGUAGAUAUUAGGAGGAACACCAGUGGCGAAGGCGGCGUACUGGACUGUGACUGACGUUGAGGCUCGAAAGCGUGGGGAGCAAACAGGAUUAGAUACCCUGGUAGUC